GUAACUGGGGCUAAGUCGUAACAAGGUAGCCGUACCGGAAGGUGCGGCUGGAACACCUCCUUUCUGGAGAUCA
rnacentral:rRNA from 1 species